UACGAAGGGGGCUAGCGUUGUUCGGAAUCACUGGGCGUAAAGCGCGCGCAGGCGGACCGAUAAGUCAGAGGUGAAAUCUCCCGGCUCAACUGGGAGGGGCCCUUUGAUACUGUCGGUCUUGAGAUGCCUAGAGGAGAGUGGAAUUCCCGGUGUAGUGGUGGAAUGCGUAGAUAUCGGGAGGAACACCAGUGGCGAAAGCGGCUCUCUGGGGCGAUCUGACGCUGAGGCGCGAAAGCGUGGGGAGCAAACCGGG
rnacentral:rRNA from 1 species